UAUCAAUGGUGAUAGGAUUGAGAAAUGCCCUAAAGGGCAUUACUGUCCAGCACAAACUAGUCUCAACUGGAAGAAAUGUCCAAAAGGUACAUAUAGUUCAGCUCUGGGACUGCAGACAGUGUCUGAAUGCACUCCAUGUGACGCUGGUUUCUUCUGCAGUGAAGCAGGAGCAUAUCAAGUGACUGGGCUGUGUGCACCCGGAUAUUACUGUGAGAUGGGAGUGGAUACUCCUACACCAGAAGGCAACAAUACAGGCAGAGGAGGGCCAUGUAUGGAAGGUACUUUUUGCCCAUCUGGGAGCUCAAAGCCAACCACGUGUCCUGCUGGGAGCUAUAGUGACAGAAGUUGUCAGUCAGAAUGUGACCUUUGUAAACCUGGAUAUUACUGUGCGGA